rnacentral:tRNA from 2 species
ACCCGCGUAGCUCAGUGGAUAGAGCAACAGGCUACGAACCUGUGUUGUCGGGAGUUCGAAUCUCUCCGUGGGUGC